AUGGAGGCGUUGAUGGGGAAAUGGGCGUACACGAAGCGCAUCUUGUAGCGGAAACCCUUGGUGACGCCGGUGAUGAGGUUCUGGACGUGGGAGAUGGCGGUGCGGAUGGCGGCCAUGGUGCGGCGGGUGCCGAACCAGGCGUCCACCUUGAGCUUCCGGCCGCCCUCCUGCAGCUGGAAGUCGAGGUUGAGGUGCUUGAAGUUGCGGGUCAGCGUCCCGCGGGGCCCCGUCACCGUGAUCAUCUUGGCGGCGACCUUCACCGUCACCUCCUCGGGGAUCUCCAUCGUCUCC
rnacentral:lncRNA from 1 species